rnacentral:rRNA from 1 species
UACGAAGGGGGCUAGCGUUGUUCGGAAUCACUGGGCGUAAAGCGCACGCAGGCGGAUCGUUAAGUCAGGGGUGAAAUCCCGAGGCUCAACCUCGGAACUGCCUUUGAUACUGGCGAUCUUCGAGUCCGGGAGAGGUGAGUGGAACUCCGAGUGUAGAGGUGAAAUUCGUAGAUAUUCGGAAGAACACCAGCGGCGAAGGCGGCUCACUGGCCCGGUACUGACGCUCAGGUGCGAAAGCGUGGGGAGCAAACAGG